UGUGCAAAGGUAGCAUAAUCAAUUGGCUUGUAAUUUAAGUCUGGUAUGAAUGUAGUUUUAGGCUAAAGCUGUCUCUUUAUGUUAAUUGAAAUUUACUUAGCCGGUGAAAAUACCGGCAGUUAUAUAAUAGACGAGAAGACCCUAGAAAUUUUUUGAAAAGUAUAAGUUAUAUAUUGGAUUUUGUUGGGGCGACAGAGUAACAGUUAACUUACUCUAUUUAAUGUGAAUUAAUUAUGGAAAUGUAAAUUACUCUAGGGAUAACAGCAUAAUUCUAUUAGUGUUUGUGACCUCGAUGUUGGACUAGGAAAGAUAAUAUUCAGAAGAUAUUAUUAUAGGCUCUGUUCGCGCC
rnacentral:rRNA from 1 species